rnacentral:rRNA from 1 species
AUUGAACGCUGGCGGCAGGCCUAACACAUGCAAGUCGAACGGUAACAGGAAGAAGCUUGCUUCUUUGCUGACGAGUGGCGGACGGGUGAGUAAUGUCUGGGAAACUGCCUGAUGGAGGGGGAUAACUACUGGAAACGGUAGCUAAUACCGCAUAACGUCGCAUGACCAAAGAGGGGGACCUUCGGGCCUCUUGCCAUCGGAUGUGCCCAGAUGGGAUUAGCUAGUAGGUGGGGUAACGGCUCACCUAGGCGACGAUCCCUAGCUGGUCUGAGAGGAUGACCAGCCACACUGGAACUGAGACACGGUCCAGACUCCUACGGGAGGCAGCAGUGGGGAAUAUUGCACAAAGGGCGCAAGCCUGAUGCAGCCAUGCCGCGUGUAUGAAGAAGGCCUUCGGGUUGUAAAGUACUUUCAGCGGGGAGGAAGGGAGUAAAGUUAAUACCUUUGCUCAUUGACGUUACCCGCAGAAGAAGCACCGGCUAACUCCGUG